GAUGAACGCUGGCGGCGUGCCUAAUACAUGCAAGUCGAGCGAACAGAUGAGGAGCUUGCUCCUCUGACGUUAGCGGCGGACGGGUGAGUAACACGUGGAUAACCUACCUAUAAGACUGGGAUAACUUCGGGAAACCGGAGCUAAUACCGGAUAAUAUAUUGAGCCGCAUGGUUCAAUAGUGAAAGACGGUUUUGCUGUCACUUAUAGAUGGAUCCGCGCCGCAUUAGCUAGUUGGUAAGGUAACGGCUUACCAAGGCAACGAUGCGUAGCCGACCUGAGAGGGUGAUCAGCCACGCUGGAACUGAGACACGGUCCAGACUCCUACGGGGGGCAGCAGUAGGGAAUCUUCCGCAAUGGGCGAAAGCUUGACGGAGCAACGCCGCGUGAGUGAUGAAGGUCUUCGGAUCGUAAAACUCUGUUAUUAGGGAAGAACAAAUGUGUAAGUAACUAUGCACGUCUUGACGGUACCUAAUCAGAAAGCCACGGCUAACUACGUG
rnacentral:rRNA from 1 species